UGUGUUUGUUUUUGCUACAGCUGCAACAUAGUUUUGUCAGGCCCACGUGUUGGUCAUCGCAUGGUACUUUGUUUGGGUUUUGUUUUGUUCCGUUUUGUUUCCUCUCAUUUUCAACUUUGCUUCACUAUCGCUUUCACCCGUUUUGUUUCCUCAAAUUUUCAUGUUGUUGCUUUCAGUCGGUGUUUUGUGCGAUUCUGCUGCCUGUGGUUGCUCGGAAAAUACGAAAUCAAUCGUGUGGGUUGCUCGGAGACCACUGGGUUAUGCUUUUGUUCACUUGGAUCACGGUAGAGAUGCAGAGGAUGCAAUUGGUGAAUUAGAUGUGUGGGAAAAUUCUUAUUAUCUCCUUGACUCUACAGUUUACUGCCUGCACACGUGUUUGACGUUUUGUUCCGCUUUUG